rnacentral:hammerhead_ribozyme from 1 species
AGCUUGCUGAUGAGUGCCAAGUAGCACGAAACCCGAGUCCAGGGU